GGGACCACCGCGGAGACGGAUGGGGCUCAGCCGCAGCAGGUUCUGGAGGGACCGUGGCUGCAUCAGAGGAGCUCCGAGGGGACUCAGCGUGCCCUGUGCGUUUGUGUGAGAUCCGUCAGCCUCCCAUCCGCGUGCCCCACCGCCCGGACUAUCCUUGCUUCCAAGAGUGCCCCGUCCCUUUCUCAUCUACAGAAGCUUAAACUGUCGUCACAUGUGGUCUCUGAAUUCUUUCUUCUUCUAAGCCAGGGCUUUGCAACUUUUUUUAAACUGAGACCCACAAUAAGAGGCACAUUGUACAUCACAACCAGUACGUACACGCAGAAGUGAAAUAAGAGUUUGUGAAACAACACUCCCUCUGAUGAGUGAUUCCCUGAUAGAAAUCACAACUUCCAUUAUGGUCAUAGAAAUAGGUGCUUCCAUGCUGCUCUGCUCCUUUUUGAAAAUGCUCGUUAGGACUCAUUAAAUUGAUUUCACAACCAGCUGUUUCACAAACAGGUCUAAGUCGUUGCAGCCUGGAAGCUGCUUCUCUGAGGAGGCUGCGGCAGCACUGACCCGAGGGCCCGUCCUCAUUUCCGCCUCUUCCCGGCCUCUCUCGCACGGGUCGUGAAACCCACUGUGUCCCCAUCACCCCAUCCCAGAGGACUCUCUUCUUCUGUCCCCACCCCACAAUCCUCCUGCUGUACCUUUCCCCAGGCCCCACCGAACUGCACGGUGUCAGUGACUCGCCUCGGUGCCCGGGCACCCACCCCUGGCCGGCGCCAAGCCCGGCCUCAUCCUCGUCCCUCUGGCCUCAGGCUGUGGGAUCUGCCCUCAUUCUGUAAAGGCUUUUGUGUCCCUGAAACGCUUCCUUUGUUGUGACGAGACUAAGGUGUGAGACAGGAUUACAACACACCAAAAUGCAGCCAUGUCUUAGGCCUGGAGUUGUGGGUGACUGGUAGCAUAUUCUUUAUAUAUUUGCAUUGCAUUUUCCAACUUGUCUCCAAUGGAUCACGUUACUUUUAGGACCAGAAAGAAAACUGACAUUAGGAUGAGAAGAAAUGGAAAGGCAUUGCUGGUCCGUCUGUCUGGGUCUCGCUGGUGCCGCCCCUGGUCAGGGGGUGCUGGUGCAGGUGGUCUGUCCCGGAGCCUGUGGCCCAUUUUCAGUGAGGAGCAGGAAAGCCCAAAGCUGUUGCUAGCGGCUGGUGGUGCUGCUGCGGGGGGCUCCACACGGCGGGGCCAUUGCUGCCCCUCAAGGGCACCGUGGGGGCCCCCAGUCUGCGGGGCUGGCGAGUGCCUUCCUGGCACAGAUGUUUUUUAUAUGUUUGUUCCAGCUAUGUCUGGCUAAGCCGCCUCUUUCUAAAUGCAGGGCCUGUGCACACAUUUGCUCCGGGGAUUUUUUUCUACUUUGAAAGGCAGCUCUCAGCAGGGCUGGCUGUGUUUCCUUUGCGAUGUGAGCUGCGCGGUGUCGGAUGUCAUGGAUCUGGGGUGUUGGGGACGUGGAGGAGGGAGGCACAGGCCUCUGCUCGCCAAGGCGGAUCCCAGCCCGUCUGCAGCCUCACCUCCUGUUUCAGUGGCCAUGCUGAUGAUGUCACCCACAUACCGAAGUGAACAUGCUAUUUCCUGACCUGAAGUCGGCCAAGGGGAGCGGGCAAGUCUGUGUGAAUCUUCCUUUCCCCCUGAGAUGGCGAAGUCAACACAGAAGACGUGGUUUCCCUGAGCUCCGACUUCUGGGCUCUGAGUUUCCCCCCAGCUCCCUCCACUUCUCCGCUUUCCGUCUCCUCCAUUUGUCUAAGGGAAGAGACAGGGAAGAAGAAGUGUGGCCUGGGUGGAUUCUGGCCCUAAAGUGAAGCAUAAAAGAAUAAAGAGAAAGAACAGGACAUCUCCACGAGCUCAGGGCAGGCAAAGCUUGCUCAGGGCAGUCAAAUAGGACACAGAAAAUCCAAGCCAUACAGGAAAAGGUUAAUCUCAUUUGACUUCGUUAAAAUGACAAACUUUUGUUCAUCGAAAGACAUCAUUCCAAAAAGAAGAGGCAAGUCAGACUCAGAGAUUGGUGGUCCAUGCAGCCAACAAAUAACCAGAAUAUAUAUAAAGAACACUUACAAAUCCAUAAGAAACAUGCUAACAGCUCUAUUUUUUUAAUGGGCAGAAUACUGGCACAGGAGUUUCACAGAUGAGGAUAUCCAAAUGGUCAGUCCACAUUGGAAAGGUGCUCAGUGUCACCAUUCAUCAGGAGGACAACCACGAGAUGCCAUCAUCCCCCCACAGAAGGCUUGAAGCCGAGAGGACUGACGGGGCCAGUGUCAGAGGGGGUGCGGGGCAAACAGCCCACGCAUUGUGGACAGAAGCCUCAGUGGACGCAGCCACCUUGGAAGCGCUGGUUAUUGGUGAUUCUUUCUCUGCAGGUGGUCCGACCUGUGUGCCCUCACUGGCUCACCACUCUUCCCGUGAGCUUAGGGCAAGCAAAGAUUUCUUACACAGGUCCCGGAACAUUCUUGCAUUCCAUGCAUCUUGGAAAGCUACCCUAUGCACGGCUUUGUUUUCUGCUCCACCUGCGUGGCUGUUACCUGUGGCACCUAAACAUUGCUCAAGGACCUGGCAGCAGCUGCAGCCAUGCUCCUGCCAGGCUCCUGACAAGAUUGGAAAUCACGUGCAACGCUGAGCGCCAUCAGCUGAGAUUUAGACCUUAAAGCUGCUUCUUAUGCUAACAUUUUUUUUCUCAGCAUGGAACUGCGAAGUGUCCUAAAUGUGGAAAAUCGAAUUGGGUGUCAGAAAAAAACCAAUAAGUGCCUCUUCAAUAAUUAACAGAUGGAGAUCCAGACCAACAGCAAAGUUAAUCAAUGCAAAAAGGUGGUGCAGGACAGACAAACAGAAACUCAGGAGCUCCUUUUAGAAGCCAGAGGCUCCUGGCAGGAGCACUCACGACCUCCUCAGGUCACUAAGCUGUGGUAUGCGCCACACUACCUGGCCACGGUCUCUUCCUCAGAUUUGCCAUAAACCUCACCUGGCGUCCUCAAAUACACUUUGACCACGUGGGCAUCAGAACAUCAAGUGGGAAACACGCAUGAAUUUUCCACUCCAGGAUCCUGGAAAAAGAAGCACUUGUUCCUAGAGAACCUGCUUAUUCUGAUCUUUGGGUAACUAGAUAAUUCUUUCUAAAUCCUGCUGAGGGUGAAGAAUAUUGUGUUCCAUGUUUUAAAAACACAUUGGAAGAACACCGUUCUUUCUGAAGCCAGAAGGGAAAUACAUCAACAGCUGAGGUGAGGUUUCGCUACGGUGCUCCGCAGAUUUAGAUAACAUGGUGUCUGAGUCCAGCAGUACAUGCUCUCACCUUCACUGUCUCAGUACAACAGGACACGCUCUCACCUUCACCAUCUGGGUACAGCAAGACGCGCCCUCACCUUUACCGUCUCAGUACAGCAGGACACACUCUCACCUUCACUGUCUCAGCACAGCGGGACACGCCAUCACCUUCACUGUCUCAGUACAGCAAGACGCACCCUCACCUUCACUAUCUCAGUACAGCAGGAUGCGCCCUCACCUUCACCAUCUCAGUACAGCAGGACGCGCCCUCACCUUCACCAUCUCAGUACAGCAGGACACACUCUCACCUUCACUGUCUCAGCACAGCGGGACACGCCAUCACCUUCACCGUCUGAGUGCAGCAGGACAUGCCCUCACCUUCACCGUCUCAGUACAGCAGGACACACCCUCACCUUCACCGUCUCAGCACAGCUGGAUAUGCCCUCACCUUCAUCGUCUCAGCUCAGCGGGACAUACCCUCACCUUCACCGUCUCAGUACAGCAGGACACACCCUCACCUUCACCGUCUCAGUACAGUGGGACAGUGCUCUCACCUUCACCAUCUGAGUACAGUGGGACAGUGCUCUCACCUUCACCAUCUGAGUACAGUGGGACAGCACUCUCACCUUUAUAGUCCCGGUGAGUGAUCUAUGGAACUGGCGCUUUUUUUUAAUUUUAAUUUUUUUUUUUUUGUGGAGUGUCUGAAAAAUCUCUCCAGUGGUGGUGACUGGGGUGAGUUAUCAAGAUGAAGCGAAUUGGACUGAACUAUAUGAGAAAAAGCCAGGCCUGCAGAAGACAGGCUGAUGGAAGCCCACAGAAAUGAGUGAAACUGAAGGCGGGGCAGAGGUUGUCCCAGACCUUAGCUACACACACCCCUCAGAGCUGUUUCUCAAAGAUGUUUACACUAGCAAGAGGCUCAGCGUUCAUCGUUUAUAACAGCUUCUGGGAGCCACAGUUGAGUUUACCGUCUCGCCUUUCAGUACUUAUGUAUGCAGGGUGGCAACUCAAGCUAUCAUGGUCACAGAAUUAAGAGGGACGAACGUGGAUAGGUAGGGUUUCAUUUUCCAUAUCCCUCCAGCAAGCAGGGUGGGUGAGGAUGGGGACGCUUUCUUCUCCUGCUUGAGAGCCGACUUCUUAGAGGCCUUAGUAGACAUCCACCGAACAUCCAACCACCACAGAGGGCAACGGGAAGACCCCCUCAUCCAGGGCAAGCAGCUGCGGAGCUCACACGGGGUCGGGGCGAGGGCAUCCCGCUGGCAUGCGCUUGUGGCCACGGCAGGGGCCCUGGAAGAGAGACAGGAAUUAGUCAUCCCACGGUUUGUCGUCUGGCGGUGUAGUUUGACACUUGAGAGAUGUGAUCUUUAUUUCAGAAACACCAUCUGGCCAUCAGCCCAAUUCUUGACUUUUUCAUUUCUCUCAAGAUGAUCAUUAGGAGUGGUUUCAACAAAACUGAACACAGAAUUUUGAGGGCCCCAAUCAUGACUCAACCAGAGCCCUCACUGAAUUCUUCAUGAGUCAGCCCGGCCCUCUCCACUGACUUCACCCUAGCGGGCACCUGUCUUUCUUCUUCUUUUAUCACUUUUUGCUUCUCUUUUGGUUUCCAGCUCUGACUGAAUUCAGACCCAACACCUUCCAAUUCUUCCCGGCCCCCUCAGGGAAACCCAGAGGCAAAUCUGAGUGCAGGGAGCGGGGGCUUCGCGUGGAGCUGGGAAUUCCCCACGCUGAGAGGGACCUGAGACGCCGGCGCCUUCCCAGGCUGCCCCGCGCUGAGAGGGACCUGAGACGCCGGCGCCUUCCCAGGCUGCCCCGCGCUGAGAGGGACCUGAGACGCCGGCGCCUUCCCAGGCUGCCCCGCGCUGAGAGGGACCUGAGACGCCGGCGCCUUCCCAGGCUGCCCCGCGCUGAGAGGGACCUGAGACGCCGGCGCCUUCCCAGGCUGCCCCGCGCUGAGAGGGACCUGAGACGCCGGCGCCUUCCCAGGCUGCCCCGCGCUGAGAGGGACCUGAGACGCCGGCACCUUCCCAGGCUGCCCCGCGCUGAGAGGGACCUGAGAUGCCGGCGCCUUCCCAGGGAGCUCUGGAGAGCGGCCUCAGGUUGGGGAGGAGGGGGUCUGCCAUCCUCCCCUCUCUACGGGGAGGGCUGCCUUGUGAUGGGGGCUCAGGAUCCACUACAGGGCCCCGACCCCGAGGCAGAAGUGGGGGUAUUGCUUCCUGCCACCCCUCACCAGGCAGGGAUGCCAGGGAUUCCGCAGCCGGAGUCAAACCUACGUUUACCUGAAUGGAAGGAGAGAGGCGUCUCUGGCCGAAGGAAGAGGGGAAGUGGCAACUCCCAGUGAAGAGGUCGUCGCCAAGCCACAGGAUGGCUGGUGGCCACUUCGGGAGGAGGCUCCGGGACCUGGGGAGGAAAGGCCAAGCGAGGCGGGUGUGCGUGCAGAGGACGCUCUGUUCAGAUUCCUCCCCAAAUAGUGACGGAGCUCCAGGAGCUGCCCUGUCAGGGAUCUGUGGGGCAUGUGUGUUUCCUUUACCACCUCCGGAAACUGCACUACAAUGGCAGUGAGUGGAGGGGAUGACCCUGCGGAACGAAGAAAACAGCAAGCCACAGUGGUUCGGAGGAAAGGCCGGCAGUGGCACAAAGUGGGUCUGCAGGGGCAGGCGAGCUGCAUCCCAAGCCCAGGAAAAGCCCGAGACACCGGGAGCUGGGCUGCCCUAGGAGGCUGCAGACAGAGGUGGGGCCACCAGUUCCAAAAGCAACUCCAAGACCUCAAGGCCGUCUUCCAACAAGCUCGGCCGUAGACGCACGUCCUCCCACCAGGCGGGAGCAGGGCACCCUUAGCCAGGGCUGCAGGGAGGGCGGACGGAUGCCACGGGUGCUGGGCCCUGCUUCCCGCAACAGCAGCCCAGCUGCAAAAGGUCACCAAGAUUUGAUGACAGGGAGCACGUGAACUCUGGGCUCACUCCAGCCCUCCUGGCUGGCUGCCGAAUGCUGGCCGCAUGACAUUUUGCAGUUCAGAACCCAAGUUGAAGAGGGGUAUGUGGGACCCCUCAACAGCAGCAAGGAAACCCGUGGGCCGUGGGCAAUGCCUUGGUACAUUCAGGAAAAGGAUAGCCUACCUAGAAGUUGAAUCCAACCAUAUUAUCAGUCAAGAGUAAAGAGAAAAAGACGUUUUCAGACCAGUACAGAGGCUGCUAGAGGAAGUGCUUCACCAAAACGAGGCAUCAGCCCUGAAGGAGGACCUGGCGCCAGGACACAGGAGAGACACGGGGGGCUCUGGGGAUGUGGGGAGGGGCUCCUGGGUGACAGUGCAGGAGAGCUGAGGGCUUCCAGGGGGGUCUGAACCAGCAUUCUCAUUGUGUGGAGAGAUUUCCAUUUCUGACUGAGAGGUUGGGAGAGAAUUGAGGAUGGGUAUAUGAGCAAAGCCAUUUGAAAAUCAAGGCAGUUAUUAAUUCCAGGCAAAAUAUAAUUUUAUAAGAUGGGCCAUGUAAUCACAACACAUUAGGCUACAUUGGCUGCUGUGACCAAGGCCAAAAUAAUAGUGGUCUAAAUAAUCUAGACGCUCACUCUCUCAGGAAGCUGUUGGCAUGGAAGUGGAUACAGCAGCUCUGCAGGGCCAGGCCUGGCUGUCCUGAGCAUAUGGCAGGCAUCUGCUCACAAUCUGCCCACCAUGAAGCCCACACUUCCCUCAGGGGAGACCAGGGGAGUGGUGUCUUUCCCCUUCCCAUGUCCUGCCAGGAAGCUGUAUGCUUCAUGUCCACUCAUGGGCACUGACCAAUGGCCAAAGCCCAGUCCCACAGCCCACUGCAGAGGAGGCUUGCGCACCUGCCCACAGGCCCAGCAACACUGGGAUUUCUAUAAAAGAUGUCUCAAGGCAACUGGAGGACGUUGGGCCUUGGAUGCUAUUAAGGGAUGACCGCUAGUUUAGCUGGGUAUGAUAGCAAUAUUGUGGUGAUACCGGUAAAAGCCCUUACCCGUAAGAAAUAUAAACAAAAGUGUUGAUGGAUGAGAUGACAUGGUGCCUGAGGUCUGCUUCAGAAUAUCCCACAUGUAUUUAGGUAUUACUCGUGUGACUAAGAAGUAAAUUUUUUAAAAGAUCAAAGAAUUUCUCCUGCCACAUCUAGAAGAGGAGGCUGGAAGGUGAUGGGGGACCGGCCAUCCCUGUCCAUGGGCAUACCCACAGCUGCUGUGAACACCCACAGAUGAGCUGAUGCCCACCCAGCGUGGGGUCCACCUCCACCUGGGCCCGAUGCAGGAGGGGCCCAGGGAAGGAAGCAAACAGCCCUGGAGGUGGACAUUUCCAACAGCCCCAAAUGGUCACCCUCCCCAGCAGGACAUUAGCAGAAAAUACCUAUAACUUAGAAAUCAUUGAAAAGCAGUGAAACACUUUUUUUUUAAUUGAAGGUGAGAACCAAAAGGAAGUUUAAAGAAUAUUCCAAGUGAGCAGAGGAGGUGGCGGGAUCACCCAAAACUGCUACUUUGUGGUUAUGGUCAUUAUAAGCAUAAAAUAUAUCUAAAAUACUUGAAAGUUAUCACUUUAAUAAAAAUAAAACAACAAAGAGAUAGAAAAAGCCUUGCUGAAGCAAGGGAGGCUGAUGUGCACAGGACGAACAGAAGUGAAGUGAGGAAGAACAAGGGAAACUGCGUGGCCCGGGCCCGCGUGCACGCCUAGCUGGGUUUACCACCCCCGCGAGGGCCUCAUGCCAUGCGUGGACACCGUCAGCCCAGUGGCCAGAGCCUGGCUGGGUUUACCACCCCUGCAAGGGCCUCAUGCCACACGUGGACACCGUCGGGCCAGCGGCCAGAGCCUGGCUGGGUUUACCACCCCCAUGAGGGCCUUGUGCCACACAUGGACACUGUUGGCCCAGAGGCCAGAGCUCCCCAAAGCCAGGGCUGCUGCCUGGAGAACAGUUACCCUUGGGGUGGGAGCGGUACCUCCCACGAGCUGCAAUGGGACUGUGUGUGCCGCCGGCACCUGGCAUUGUGCAUUCUGCGUGUGUCCCAGGAGGACCCUGUGCAGUGACUGUUCCACACUUUCCACAUUUGCUUCUCCUGCGAGUCGCAAUGGGGCUGCAUGUGCCGCUGGCCCCUGGCAUUGCACAUUGCGGGUUUGUGCCAGGAGGACCCUGUGUGGGGACUGUUCCACACUUUCCACAUUUGCUUCUCUGGUAGCAGGUGAGCUCCGGGAUUCCGUCAGUGCUACCUCCGCGGGUCUCCUGAAAUAUUCAAAGAGUAUGAACAGGUUAAAAGUUUUAACCCCUGAAUAGCUGGGAUGUAAAAAAUGAAAUCUGGCAAGUGGUUAAACGAAAUUACAGACCUAAUUGCUUACACUUAAAAUAAUACUAAAGCAAAUGUGAGAUUGUGUUUAACUUGGAGGACCAGCACCGUCGGCAACGUGGUUCUGUUCUAAUUUUUCACCAGGGAGGGCUCUACAUUCCAGGCUGUUAUGAAAUGAAGUCCUCAGUGUCUGUGAAGUUCAAGUGUUUUAAAUGGAGCAGAGGCCUCUCCAGGGAUUGCCCACCCCAUUUCCACCUCAGUCCUGUUGGGAAACCAUCCCUGCUGCCAUAAGCAGAGAGCAGGAGCUCCCACCUUCUGAUGCAGCGGCUAGAUACCAGGAGGGCCACGGAAGCUGGGACCCUGAGAGACUCCGAACCACAGAUCCAACUGGGGGAUGCCAGGCGCUGACAGAACCACGGGGCCCUAAAAGGCGGAAACCGUGACUCCACAGGACUCCUCUCUUCUGCAACCUGCUCCAAGGCUGCCCCUGUGCAGAGCUCAACUAUGCGGCUGUGGCCCUGACCCCUCUGCCAGGCUGCCCGCACCACUCCAGGGGACAUGGUUUCCACUGUGGGCAGCUGGUGCAGUGUGACCGUGGUGCAGGUGGGGCCUCUGGGCAGAGGACAUCUUGGUAAACUGGGCUGCAGCAGGGCCCAAAGGUCGGGAUUGAGGGGAGGCCCUGCCAGGUGACCUCUGCAAGGACCUGGGGAACUGCACGCAAAAUCGCAGAGAGAGAAGGAUGUGGUUCUUAACCAGCUUCCACCCUGUCUUGCAGCCUUUGUGUUUACUUCCCAGUUGAUCUUUAAUUUCAGUUGCCAAAGCAGCUGUUUGCACCGUGCAGAUGAGUCCCAGGGGCCUCAGACCCGCCCAGCCGCCCGCCCAAGGCGAGAAUUGGGGCUGCGGCUGGGCUGGGCAGACAGGGUUGGGGGGCACAGCUCACAGGGCCCCCCACAUUCCGCGCUGCCAAGUCUUCUUUUUCCAGUAGUCCCAAGCUAACUUGAAGAAAGAAAAAUAUGAGGGAGGGAAAGAGAGAAAGAGAGGUGAAAAAAUAUGGUCAUAAAUCUGGGACCUGUUUUUAUUGGUGCUUCUAUUUCAGAUUUCCAGUUUGGAAAAAUACUUUUUUAUGCAUCUCAGGCACCUUGGUGAUGGUGGAGUGAUGAUGAUAAAUGCAAAAAGUUUUUAAAAGUCCUUUUUAUGCCCAGGAGAACAAAGUCUGGUACAGUGCAGCCACCUCAGGGCCUGUCAUCCUCAGACUAAAGAGGGUUGGCUUGUCCAAUUUAACUUUGCCCCAUGCCUCCGUGCUGGUGUGACUGUGCCAGGAUGCCCUCGGUGCCCUGAGACCCCGUCCAUGCCUGGCUGCGCUUCCCAGGUUUGUCUUAGGGAGCAGAGGUUGGCCAGGCGCCCUGUGGGAGGCUCAGCAGGGAAAGCGCCUGUUGUUGGGGAAUAGCUCGGGGGAGGCGCUUUCAGAUGAACCGCAGGGAACAGGUGAAGAGUGUGGACACUGGAGCAUGGGGCGGUGAGAAGACACAAUACGAGGCCUGCCGUCCGAACGCGGACCCUGCAGCCCCUGCGGCGGGAGGCCGCGAACACAAGGCUGAGUUUGCGCCUCUGAUUUGCGCCACGUGAUGGGACUUGCCGGGGCCUCCCUGCCCGUGAAGAGACUGUUUUUGCUGUGAGUCUGCGUGCACAGUGGGUCUGCUGCGCCUGCAUAGGUGGGUUUAAUUGGCUCCAGCUGCACUGGCGGCGCCUCUCCUCCACUAGGAUGUGGCGCAUGGAGUUAUGGGUGGAGCCCUUUGAAGCAGCUGCAAGUCAUUCUGUCGUAUAAACUGAAAGAAGAAGAGGGUGAAAAAUCCAAGCCCGUGACUCUGCCCGCUCCACAGCUGUGCUCACACAGCUCCACGAGACGGCCGCCCAAACAAAGCUACCUCCGUGGGCCUUGGCCAGCUGACAAGAGGAAGAAAAGGAGAUUACUCUAAGCUCCAGGUAUUCUGGUGAGCUGGAAGCUGGCCGGGAGAGCCAGGCGCCAGUGACACCUCCAGCCAGCAGGCCCAUGUGGAGGCCCCAUCCCGGGAGCGUGCCCAGGGGCGAGGCGUGUCCGGCCACCACCGACCACCAGCCGCCCAGGAGGCAGAGGUGACCCGAGAGGGGGCUGCUCGGUUCAGGGAGGAGCCCAGCCCCCAACGCAGGGCACGGAUGGAAUCUCUCAGGGUUCCCUGGGCAUCCUGCCCACCCAAGCUGACUGCUAAGGUCAUCAAAACGGAGCAGGAGCCCAGGCCUAGAGUGUCCAGGCCAAGUGACCACCAUGAGUGCCUGAGAGGCCGGACGUGCAGGCUGGCUCCUGGCUUCUCACCUGAGCCUCCCCAGCUGCUUGCCUCCACGUCUGAGAAUGCCCGGCGCCCCAGCAUGGCCUUGGGGAGGCGGCAGUGCUGAGUGCAUGGGGCCGAGAGGAUGGCUCUGGGCCAGUCGGGUGCUGGGAUAGUGGCUGGCAGGGGACCCAUUUGGAGAAGAGCCCACUGCUCUGAGCAGCUCCAGCUGCAGCUCCCACCGCCCUCUUGUGAGGGCCUGCCUGGGCCCGUGUCCAAAUCCCAGCACCACAGGCCAGAUGGCCGGCAGGUCUCACGGGGUGAGCACAGCAGAGGCUGCUUUUACACAGGGACCCCUGGGGCCCCCUCCAAGGGCUGCUGCCUGAGAGGGAGCGUGGCCCACGGAGACCCCCUGGACUCGGCCUCUGGGGCCCACCUGGUGGUUUCUGAGGGUGCUGCCAGGCCAGAAGCUCAAAUCCUGCUGGCUGCGCUGUCCUGAGGCCACAGCCAACACCCACUCCUGCCUUCAGCCCGGUGUCCCUUCCCACUGUUAGCGGGGCCUGGGGGAUGAAGGAAGACCACCACAGUGCGGCGGGAGAGAGAAAGCCCUCGGCUUCAUCCUGGGUAUGUUGUGGAGAUGCAGACGGGUCCGAGGUCAGACGAGGGUACUGGACUUGCCGAGGUGUCCACACUCAAAGGGAGCGUCUGGAGCGGGGGGCGGCGUGAGGAGUUCAGGGGCUUCCCGGGAGCAGUUCCAGCUGACAGAGCUCCAUGGAAAUCAGACAUGACCUUGGGGACCGCCGACCUGUGGGGUGUGCACCAGAACCCCACACUGUGGGAGCCCAGCCUUCCUCUCACUGGGUGGCAGUGGCUGGGCUCACACAGACCACAGCAGUGUCCAGCUCCCCUGUCAAGGAGAGACUCCUCCUCAGGGUGGGCUGCGGGACCAGCGCCAGCGGUGAUGGGGUCCAUCCUCACCGUCUCCUGAAGGGCCCGGCCUGGCCUGAGACUUCGAUCUCGGUGAUGACAGCCACCAGCUGGAUGAACUGGCCCCGCGUCCUUCCUACUCCUCAUCUCCCUUCUCUUGCUGGGACUUCACAAGAGAGCCCGAGUUACUGAGUCAACAGGAAGUAGAAGAGACUCCCAUGCAGCUCAGGCCCCCGUGGCAGGACCAGGAAGGAGGGAGAGGUGGCGCGUUGCCUGGGUGCUCAUGGACACCAGGUCUGCUCCCCAUGCACUUGUCGUCUGUGCCACGCUGCAGGGGCCAGGCAGCCACAAGCAUCGUUUGGGCCCCGAGCCGGCCAGGCUGGAGUCAGGUCCCACUAAGCCGCAGGUGCCUCUCGCUUGGGGGUGGGGGCUGAAGGGUGUCUUCCUGCCGUGGAGCUGUAGCUGGUGCCUGGUUCCCUCUGUCCAGACGCAGCUCUGGGCUUGCAGCCUCUGCCUCCCUGAUGGGACAGCAACCCUGGGCAUCGCUGGAGGCUCUGAGGUCUGCACGGGGCACCAUCCCGUAUUCUGCAGGGUCCAGAGACACAGAGAGGGAGGCCAGCCCAGCACCAUUGUGGGAGAAAGGCCAGUGAUGUCAUCAGGGGGCUGAGGCUGGCAGCCACCUUCUAGUGGACAUUACUGCUGAGAACUGGCCAGGUGCCUGCACUCGCUGCCAUGAGUAAUUGCCCAGUGGCCCGUGAGGUGCUGGCAGCUCCUCCGUUUACAAGUUAGGAGACAGGUACAGAGAGACCAGCUGGCCUGUUCCAGCAGCACUGCUCUGGCUCCUGACCACCACCACAUCAGCAGCAAAACCGCCAGGGCUGAAAUCAAUACAGAUUUAUCCAUUCUCACCAGGCUGCGGGCGCCUUGCAGGUCUGUGCUCCUAGCUGGGGGCCCAGGGAGACUCUGCUUCCAGGACUGCCCGAGUGUGGAAGGAACCCAGCUGCCAGCUGCAGGACUGAGGUCCCAUCUCCUCCCUGGCCUCGCACAGGCCCUCCUGCCUGCCAAGCAGCAAGUGAUGCCGCACCUCAGUCUCUCCCUCUGCUCUCCAGUUCCCUGGACCCCCAGCCCAAGCUCCGGUGAUUACCAGGAGAGUCGCACGUCUGUGAUGGUGGUCUCCCAGGCACGCAUGACCAUGGAGCACGGGAACGUGUGCGCCUGCUGGGAGCACAUGGGAAGACUGCACGCCGGGUGCUGAGGCUUCCUGUGAAAAAAAGAACCUGAAACAAAUUUCCAUCAGACAGUGUGUGUCUAGAAAAUGGCUAUAAAGUGUUCUGCCUCCUGCUGAUUUUAUUGGAAUCGCGUCUGAGCUGCAGGACUAAGCACGUGGGCCUGGGAAUGGAAUCGCGUCUGAUCUGCAGGACUAAGCACGUGGGCCUGGGAACUGUCCACGCCGGGGCACGUAGCGUUGCUGAGGAGCAGGAUGGACGCCCACACACCUGAGUCCACCCACACAGGCCUCUGGAUGUGCCACUGUGGACGGUCGGGGCAGGGGCCUCCUGCCCUCAAGCUGUGUGUGGCAGCCACGGGUCCCCGUGCCUGCAGCCUGAGACAGGCGCCUGGAGUCGCUGCCUGGGGCAAGUGAGUUCUGCUGGAGGAAACGAUGUAGAACUGUGAGGAUGCCGCAAGAAGGCAACAGCAGAGUCAGAAGUUCAGGAGAAGACAGAGGUCUUCCUGAGACCCCGGCUGGUGUGGACACAAGGAAGCCCCGCCGGAGGGCCCUCUUUACAUGGGGAGGCCUGAACCCUGAGCAGUCAAGGAAGUUUUGGAAGUGAGUAGCUAUGGCUUCUCCACCUGCUCCUGCCUGGACGGCGCCCUUCAGAACUCAAGCCCAUCCAUGAGACAGCACCCACCGGGGCCAGUGAGUCACUCCAUGAAGGCCAAAGCAGGUUUUUCAUCACCUCGCAAGGGCCUGGAGUUGGGAGAGAAAGAGCAAAAUGAAAAGGCACCUCUGAUGACAGCCGCCACCCCUGAGCCCCGAGCCAUUCUCUCUCGGAGCUGCAGGAGCCACGGCCGCAUGCGCUGCAGAGGGGCUGCCUGUGUGCAGCCUGAGGACAUGGAGGCUUUAUGUGCAGCCAGACGGAGUGGCCCUGUGGCUCUCCACAGCCCUGACCUGUGCCCCUGCACAGAGCUCAGCGAGGACGCUACCUUCUAGAGCGGAUACCCACAGAUGCACCGUGGAGUCCCCUUGCAACCCGCAGGAACCACGUUUUUCUGCUUAACCCAUUGUUUUAGGGUCCUGGGGCUGCCAGGUCAAUGUUCCACAAACUGGGGGACUUAACAAUUUAUCCUCUCAGAACCCUGGAGGCCAAAGUCUGAAACCCUGGCGCAGCAGGGCGUGCUCCCCGGGUGCUCCUGGGCGUAGGAAGGACGUGCCCCCCGGGUGCUCCUGGGCGUGGGCGUAGGAAGGACGUGCCCCCCGGGUGCUCCUGGGCGUGGGCGUGGGCAGGGCAUGCCCCCCCGGGUGCUCCUGGG